CAGCCGCCGCGGGAAUACGUAGGGCGCAAGCGUUGUCCGGAAUUAUUGGGCGUAAAGAGCUCGUAGGCGGUCUGUCGCGUCUGGUGUGAAAUCCCGAGGCUCAACCUCGGGCUUGCAUCGGGUACGGGCAGACUAGAGUGCGGUAGGGGAGACUGGAAUUCCUGGUGUAGCGGUGGAAUGCGCAGAUAUCAGGAGGAACACCGAUGGCGAAGGCAGGUCUCUGGGCCGCAACUGACGCUGAGGAGCGAAAGCAUGGGGAGCGAACAGGAUUAGAUACUCCAGUAGUCCCUGUCUCUUAUAC
rnacentral:rRNA from 1 species